UGACCCUGGCAAUGGGCAAACAGGCACCUUGUUGCAGUAUUGUUCUUUGAUCAGUCAGGGACAGAGCAGCUAGCAGUCCUUUGUUUAUCCUAGCUUGAUAUCUAGCUUGGUGGUCAAAGCUGUUUUAUGCCGAGGAUGCUGUU